rnacentral:rRNA from 1 species
UACGUAGGGUGCAAGCGUUAAUCGGAAUUACUGGGCGUAAAGCGUGCGCAGGCGGCUUUGCAAGACAGAUGUGAAAUCCCCGGGCUCAACCUGGGAACUGCAUUUGUGACUGCAUGGCUGGAGUGCGGCAGAGGGGGAUGGAAUUCCGCGUGUAGCAGUGAAAUGCGUAGAUAUGCGGAGGAACACCGAUGGCGAAGGCAAUCCCCUGGGCCUGCACUGACGCUCAUGCACGAAAGCGUGGGGAGCAACAGG